GUGGAAGCCUGGAUGGCAGAUGCUCAGGUCUGACUGCUGGGCUGCAGGGAAGAAAGAAAUGCCAAGCUGAACUCGCAGGGCUCUGCUGGAGUGAGGAAGCUGACUGAGGGAAGAACCAGAAGGCUGCCAAAAUGUCUGCUGCUGGGGAAACCAAACCACAGUAACUUCAGAAAUAUAUACUUGGAAUAUGUCAUGUAUUAAUGGGUAAAGACACCGUGGAUAUGAAGGAAAUCACCUAUGGGAGAAUAUUAAGAAGAGAAGAAGGGGCUGCUGGCUGUAGUGAAAUGUAUAAAAAGGAGAGUGUGAUCCUAGUUUCUGUCUCUAACUAUGAGUUACUUGUGAUUAACUUCAAAUAUUCUCUCCAUAAGAAGAGGCCCAGAAGAAGAAGAUGAGCUUCAGUUAUUCUAGCACAACUGCUGUGAUAUUUGUAAAUAUUCAAAACCUAUAAUAAAAUGUAUAAAAGGAAACUCCAUUUGAAAUGAUUUGAAAUCUCACAUGGAAAUCUAUUUUUUUUAAAUCAGAGCUUAGUAAGAGAAAAUAACAGAACAUUGUAAUAAUUGAAUUACAAAAACAACUGAAUUUUGGAAAAUUUAUUUUCUCUCAUGUGAUGUGUGUGUAUGUGUGUGUGUGUGUGUGUGUAUCUAUUUAGCAAUGGCGUUAUUCUAUCAAAUGGGAUUAGAUUCAUUUUUGACUCCUGCUAAGCACCCUGUCCCCCCAACCCCAAGAUUAUGAAAGCGGAAGGGAAGGGGGAGAUAGGAAAUAUGACUUAUUUAAACUGUAUAAAAAUGCUGAAAUAAAAUGAACAUUCA
rnacentral:lncRNA from 1 species